CACGUAGGGUGCGAGCGUUGUCCGGAAUUAUUGGGCGUAAAGAGCUCGUAGGCGGUGUGUCGCGUCGGCCGUGAAAACCUGCAGCUUAACUGUGGGCGUGCGGUCGAUACGGGCAUCACUGGAGUUCGGCAGGGGAGACUGGAAUUCCUGGUGUAGCGGUGGAAUGCGCAGAUAUCAGGAGGAACACCAAUGGCGAAGGCAGCUCGCUGGGACGGUACUGACGCUGAGGCGCGAAAGCGUGGGGAGCAAACAGG
rnacentral:rRNA from 1 species